rfam:Alligator sinensis unplaced genomic scaffold scaffold781_1, whole genome shotgun sequence
AAGUGGAGUGAUGAGAGCUCGGCCUUAGGCUGGCGCUCGGGACCGUUCUGGUCCCUCGCGCGGCGCCAGCCGAUGCUAGGGGUUGUCAUAGUUACACUGACCACGC